UACGAAGGGGGCUAGCGUUGCUCGGAAUUACUGGGCGUAAAGGGCGCGUAGGCGGCGCACCAAGUCAGGCGUGAAAGCCCUGGGCUCAACCCGGGAAUUGCGCUUGAGACUGGUGUGCUUGAGUACGGGAGAGGAUAGUGGAAUUCCCAGUGUAGAGGUGAAAUUCGUAGAUAUUGGGAAGAACACCGGUGGCGAAGGCGGCUAUCUGGACCGUAACUGACGCUGAGGCGCGGAAAGCGUGGGGAGCAAACAGG
rnacentral:rRNA from 1 species